rnacentral:rRNA from 1 species
AACGAACGCUGGCGGCAGGCUUAACACAUGCAAGUCGAACGCAUCCUUCGGGGUGAGUGGCAGACGGGUGAGUAACGCGUGGGAACGUGCCCUUCAGUUCGAGAUAACCCAGGGAAACUUGGGCUAAUACCGGAUACGUGCGAGAGCAGAAAGAUUUAUCGCUGAAGGAUCGGCCCGCGUCUGAUUAGCUAGUUGGUGGGGUAAUGGCCCACCAAGGCGACGAUCAGUAGCUGGUCUGAGAGGAGGAUCAGCCACAUUGGGACUGAGACACGGCCCAAACUCCUACGGGAGGCAGCAGUGGGGAAUAUUGGACAAUGGGCGCAAGCCUGAUCCAGCCAUGCCGCGUGAGUGAUGAAGGCCUUAGGGUUGUAAAGCUCUUUCGUCCGGGACGAUAAUGACGGUACCGGAAGAAGAAGCCCCGGCUAACUUCGUGCCAGCAGCCGCCGUAA